UCUCUAGGGCCAGGCUUACAAUGCGAAGAAAAACAUCCUUUAUGUUGCAGAUACUGAAAACCAUGCUUUGAGGGAGAUUGAUUUUGUUAAUGAAAAGGUGCAAACUCUUGCUGGAAAUGGAACCAAAGGCUCUGACUACCAAGGGGGAGAUAAGGGAAGCUCUCAGCUCCUCAAUUUUCCAUGGGAUGUCUGUUUUGAGCUAGUAAACGAGAAGGUUUACAUUGCAAUGGGUGGCCAACAUCAGAUAUGGGAACACAAUACAGUUGAUGGAGUUACCAAAAGCUUUUAGUGGCGAUGGUUAUGAAAGGAACUUGAAUGGAUCAAGCUCUACAACCACUUCGCUUGCACAACCGUCCAGAAUUUCAUUAUCUCCUGAAAUUUAUGUUGUGGAUAGUGAGAGUAGCUUCAUAUGAGCACUCAGUCAAAAAACAGGAGGAUCAAGAUUGCUAGUUGGUUGUGAUCCUUUUUUGUCAGACAAUUUGUUCAAGUUUGGAGACCAUGAUGGAACAGGAUCUGAAGUUCUUCAUCAA